GAUGAACGCUGACAGAAUGCUUAACACAUGCAAGUCAACUUGAAUUUGGGUUUUUUAACUUAGAUUUGGGUGGCGGACAGGUGAGUAACGCGUAAAGAACUUGCCUCACAGCUAGGGACAACAUUUGGAAACGAAUGCUAAUACCUGAUAUUAUGAUUAUAAGGCAUCUUAGAAUUAUGAAAGCUAUAUGCGCUGUGAGAGAGCUUUGCGUCCCAUUAGCUAGUUGGAGAGGUAACGGCUCACCAAGGCGAUGAUGGGUAGCCGGCCUGAGAGGGUGAACGGCCACAAGGGGACGGAGACACGGCCCUUACUCCUACGGGAGGCAGCAGUGGGGAAUAUUGGACAAUGGACCAAGAGUCUGAUCCAGCAAUUCUGUGUGCACGAUGACGUUUUUCGGAAUGUAAAGUGCUUUCAGUUGGGAAGAAAAAAAUGACGGUACCAACAGAAGAAGUGACGGCUAAAUACGUG
rnacentral:rRNA from 1 species